GGUGUAGGCGGCUUGGUAAGUGUUGUGUGAAAGCCCCCGGCUCAACCGGGGAAUGGCAUGGCAUACUGCCUGGCUUGAGGUUGGUAGAGGUGCCUGGAACUCUAGGUGGAGCGGUGAAAUGCGUAGAUAUCUAGAGGAACGCCAGAGGCGAAAGCGGGGCACUGGGCCAAUUCUGACGCUGAGACCCGAAAGCGUGGGGAGCAAACA
rnacentral:rRNA from 1 species